rnacentral:pre_miRNA from 1 species
GUGAACGUAAUCGUAAGGCAUCUGUUGCAGCUAGCGGGUGUUUUAUUUGGUAGCUGAAUUGAUUUGAAUCUAUCAUAAGACACACGCGGCUAUAACCGAUGUCUAAAUGCUUCA